rnacentral:rRNA from 1 species
CUUGAAAUACCACCCUUUAAUGUUUGAUGUUCUAACGUGGACCCGUAAUCCGGGUUGCGGACAGUGUCUGGUGGGUAGUUUGACUGGGGCGGUCUCCUCCUAAAGAGUAACGGAGGAGCACGAAGGUUGGCUAAUCCUGGUCGGACAUCAGGAGGUUAGUGCAAUGGCAUAAGCCAGCUUGACUGCGAGCGUGACGGCGCGAGCAGGUGCGAAAGCAGGUCAUAGUGAUCCGGUGGUUCUGAAUGGAAGGGCCAUCGCUCAACGGAUAAAAGGUACUCCGGGGAUAACAGGCUGAUACCGCCCAAGAGUUCAUAUCGACGGCGGUGUUUGGCACCUCGAUGUCGGCUCAUCACAUCCUGGGGCUGAAGUAGGUCCCAAGGGUAUGGCUGUUCGCCAUUUAAAGUGGUACGCGAGCUGGGUUUAGAACGUCGUGAGACAGUUCGGUCCCUAUCUGCCGUGGGCGCUGGAGAAUUGAGGGGGGCUGCUCCUAGUACGAGAGGACCGGAGUGGACGCAUCACUGGUGUUCGGGUUGUCAUGCCAAUGGCACUGCCCGGUAGCUAAAUGCGGAAGAGAUAAGUGCUGAAAGCAUCUAAGCACGAAACUUGCCCCGAGAUGAGUUCUCCCUGACUCCUUGAGAGUCCUGAAGGAACGUUGAAGACGACGACGUUGAUAGGCCGGGUGUGUAAGCGCAGCGAUGCGUUGAGCUAACCGGUACUAAUGAACCGUGAGGCUUAACCUU